GGGACCCGUCUUGAAACACGGACCAAGGAGUCUAGCAUGUGCGCGAGUCAUUGGGACUCUAUCUAAACCUACAGGCGCAAUGAAAGUGAAGGUCCGCUUUGCGCGGACCGAGGGAGGAUGGACGGUCCCAAGGGGCCGCCCCGCACUCCCGGGGCGUCUCAUUCUCACUUUCGAGAAGAGGCGCACCCAGAGCGUACACGCUGGGACCCGAAAGAUGGUGAACUAUGCCUGGUCAGGACGAAGUCAGGGGAAACCCUGAUGGAGGUCCGUAGCGAUUCUGACGUGCAAAUCGAUCGUCGGAACUGGGUAUAGGGGCGAAAGACUAAUCGAACCAUCUAGUAGCUGGUUCCCUCCGAAGUUUCCCUCAGGAUAGCUGGCGCUCGCUUCUCGCGAGUCUCAUUCGGUAAAGCGAAUGAUUAGAGGCAUUGGGGUCGAAACGGCCUCAACCUAUUCUCAAACUUUAAAUGGGUGAGAUCUCCGGCUUGCUUGAACUAUGAAGCCGCGAGAUAUCGGAUCAGAGUGCCAAGUGGGCCACUUUUGGUAAGCAGAACUGGCGCUGUGGGAUGAACCAAACGCUGAGUUAAAGCGCCUAAAUCGACGCUUAUGGGAUACCAUGAAAGGCGUUGGUAACUUAAGACAGCAGGACGGUGGCCAUGGAAGUCGGAAUCCGCUAAGGAGUGUGUAAA
rnacentral:rRNA from 1 species